GUGGGGAAUAUUGGACAAUGGGCGCAAGCCUGAUCCAGCCAUGCCGCGUGAGUGAUGAAGGCCUUAGGGUUGUAAAGCUCUUUCGUCAGGGAAGAUAAUGACGGUACCUGAAGAAGAAGCCCCGGCUAACUUCGUGCCAGCAGCCGCGGUAAUACGAAGGGGGCUAGCGUUGCUCGGAAUCACUGGGCGUAAAGCGCACGUAGGCGGCUUUCUAAGUCAGGGGUGAAAUCCUGGAGCUCAACUCCAGAACUGCCUUUGAUACUGGAGAGCUUGAGUUCGGGAGAGGUGAGUGGAACUGCGAGUGUAGAGGUGAAAUUCGUAGAUAUUCGCAAGAACACCAGUGGCGAAGGCGGCUCACUGGCCCGAUACUGACGCUGAGGCGCGAAAGCGUGGGGAGCAAACAGGAUUAGAAACCCCGGUAGUCC
rnacentral:rRNA from 1 species